rnacentral:rRNA from 1 species
UACGUCCCGGCUUGUACACACCGCCCGUCAAGUCACGAAAGUCGGUAACACCCGAAGCCGGUGGCCCAACCCUUGUGGAGGGAGCCGUCGAAGGUGGGACUGGCGAUUGGGACU